UACGGAGGAUGCGAGCGUUAUCCGGAUUUAUUGGGUUUAAAGGGUGCGUAGGCGGGAUGCCAAGUCAGCGGUAAAAAUGCGGUGCUCAACGCCGUCGAGCCGUUGAAACUGGCGUUCUUGAGUGGGCGAGAAGUAUGCGGAAUGCGUGGUGUAGCGGUGAAAUGCAUAGAUAUCACGCAGAACUCCGAUUGCGAAGGCAGCAUACCGGUGCCCCACUGACGCUGAGGCACGAAAGCGUGGGUAUCGAACAGG
rnacentral:rRNA from 1 species